AAACAUCAUCAAAGUUGCCAUUUGACAUCAAUGGGUCAGUUAGAAUGUGUUGAAGCAUCCAAAAUACAUCUUGGUCCAAAAAUGACGAAUUUAUUCAGCAUUGUCUUCUGUUCCAUGUCUGUUGUGUAGCGCAUGUGUCUGACUAAAGUCUCGUGACUCAGAUGGCGUGUUAUCCUCAGAUAUGUUUGUGAAUUUUUUUUUCACAUUUACAGCAUUUGUCUCCCUCAGACUGUAAACGAAGCUCGGGCACACCAAAAAAAAGCGGGGACGCACCUAAUAACACAUCAGCCACGUCGUACGUCAGCUGCGUCACUUCAGUCAUGUGACUUUAGUCUCAUACUUGUUAUUAUGCCUGAUAAGAAUUUGUAAUCUUUGUGUUUAAACAUUUUUCGAAUUUUAAUCCUUGUUUUUAAAUGGCCAUGACAGUGACAAAAAGGAAGCAGCCUUCUCUAGCCCACCCAAGUUUCCAUCAAAGGAGCAAGCCUAUGUCAGUAAGAAGAAAGCUGGCUAACCCUCCCACCCCUUGUUUAACUCCUCCAGCCCAUCCCACAUCAUUGUAGAGUGAAGUGACACCGAAUAAUAACGAAGGCCUGUGUGCUUUGCAGCAGCCCCCACGUCACCCUCUUCCAGUGCUCCGUCAGAGGACUAACUAUAUGCCACAAGAUGAUUGGCAGCAAGACACACCCAGUGAUGAAGGGAUGUUAUGGAAAGAAAUUAGACUCAAUAUUAUUAACAAAUACAUGCACAGUUAUCUGUGAACUGGAUGCAUGUUACAAAUGUAUUUUACUAUCCACGAACAAAUGUCUUUAGAUUUGAAUAUGUGAAAUUCAGAAUUUGAACGAACGUGUAUCGAUUUGUACAAAUGUACAAAUACACAUGUUUUAUUGUGUAUUCAAAUAUCAUAAUUCGCGCGUGCAAAAAGGGAGAUGUGCAUUUGUGGAUCAGAUGACACGCGUGCAUUAAUCCUGUUCUGUUCAUUUGUAUAUUGAGACUUUCAUUUCGCUGUUUAAAGCAUUUUAUGAGCCAAAUACAAACAACUAUCAAUGAAUGAACUAAACAGAUGUCUUUGAUUUUGUGUCUGCGAAUUUUAAUAUUUACGUGAAUGUGCAUCGAUUUGUACAAACAGAGACAUAUUUGUGAAUUCAGUUGGCAUAUUUCGUAUCAUUAUUUCACAAUUUGUGCACGCAAAAAAGUGGAUGCGCAUUUGUGGAUCAGGCGACGCGCGUGCAUUAAUCCUGUUCUGUUCAUACGAGUUUUGAGACUUAAGUUGCGUGGUUUGCAUUGAAAGAUCCACGAGCACAGAUGUGCUAUGAAAAGAGUCAACACUAGGUGUCAGUCUAACGGAGUUUCACACAUGGCGGUGAAUUCUGUUUUCUGUGUUUCCCUUUAGUCUGGUGUUUUUAUAGCAUUACAUUUAUUAUCUAUAUAUAUUAAAUGUUUUAAUGGCUUGGCUACUGAGAUGUGUUUGUGUGCAUGUAUGUAAUGUAUCUUUAUUGUCCUUUAAUGGUAAGUCAAUUAUUUUUACAGUAUAAUUCACUUCAUUUUAAAAAGUAAUACGUUCAUGUAUUAAACUAUACCAU